UUUGGUUGGAGCUCCCUACGUACCUGAGGCCUUUCAAAGUCACAUCUUUUGAAAUACGUGGUCUUAGCAAAAUCCAUUUGAAAUGAAGUCUCAGAGCUGACAAGCAGUGAUUUAUCACAGAACAGAACUGAAAGAGGACAUACAGAAUUUGCAGGUGACUGAAGACGGUCAAGUUAUUGGUCCCACUGCAGACAGAAGCACACAACUCUGCUGUCUAUGAAACAUCGGCAUGGUACUCUUGUAAUGGAGGAAGGAUUGACUGAUAUUAGAACAUCUAAGAUGACAGGUCCAGAGAAGGAUUUGCCAAAGGAAUCUGGUGGUAACCAGUCAGGCUCAUACAGGGAAAUGACACAUGGAAAUAAAGCAGCCCUCCCCUUCUUCCCUCUCUUCCCUCUAGGAGUGAAUUACCUAUGAACGGCAUUCUUGGGGCUUCCCAGAAAGCUUAGAGGAGCACAGAGUCAUCAGCAGGACGUUACAGUAACAAAUGAUGUAGAGAACUCUGAGUCUGAUCAGUUCUAAUGGAGUCCCACAGUGGUGCAGCAGACACAGAGUGCCCACAUCAGUUCUUCAUCAAGCAGAAUUCCUCCAAGAGCUUCAUGGCAGAGCCCCAAACCCACAGCCUUACAGGCUGGAACUGCUUCCAUCUUUUUCCUGUCUCUGAUUUCUGCAAUCAUCGUGUAUAGAUUGCCUAGACUGAAAAACAGCAGUGACAACAAAAAUCCCCCUUACUAACAACAAUAACCCCCUAUCCUCCUGUGAGUAAGGGAGGUUGGGGAACAGAGAUAACAAUCAGCCAGGCUGUGUCCUGGAGCUCCCUGCUGCAGGGACACAUCCACAUAAAGUUGCUGUUGC
ensembl:lncRNA